GGAAAGAUGACCGAGUGGUUUAAGGUGCGGAUCUGGAACAUCCGUGUAGUUUUUAUUUAACUACCGAGGGUUCGAAUCCCUCUCUUUCCG
rnacentral:tRNA from 1 species